UGUCAAGGGAUGGGAAUCGAACCCACGUCCUUCCGCUUACUGGGCAGAUGCCAUGACCACUAGGCUACCCUGGAC